rnacentral:lncRNA from 1 species
AUUAAUGCCUAGACGUUUGAAAAUUAAGAAAAGGUGCCUAAACCUGCUGAGGCGCCCGUCUAAACCCCCUAGGCACUCAUCUAGCCCGUACAAACUAUCCUAGACAACUGCCUAGGUUGCAAUUCACUUAGAAAAUAGAUAACUUUCCUUUUGCAUUUUAUUGUUUUUAAUAAAUUGUAAGAGACUUAUUGAACACUUAAAUAAACACACAUUAUAUGUUUGCUCCCCAUGUUUUCAUUAUGUUCCAAUACUUCAUAAUAUAUAUGUCAUUCUAUUUUCUAGUUUAUGAUGAAAUUAUAUAUAUUUUAAGUAUAAACAGACAUUUAUUUACAAGAAAUACAAUAGAGUUACUUAAAUCUGCCUAGUUCGCCUAGGCGCCCGCUUAGCCACCUAGUCGCCUAGGCACUAGGCCCCAGCUCGCAGCUCGACUAGCGCCUAGUGUCUUUUAGAACCUUGGUACUAUUUUAUUCAAUGUCUUCCGUUAAAAUAUUUAAAUUUAUUAAUAUACAC